rnacentral:rRNA from 1 species
AUUGAACGCUGGCGGCAGGCUUAACACAUGCAAGUCGAGCGAGCGGCGGACGGGUGAGUAAUGUAUGGGGAUCUGCCCGAUAGAGGGGGAUAACUACUGGAAACGGUGGCUAAUACCGCAUACCCUCAGAUGAACCCAUAUGGGAUUAGCUGGUAGGUAAGGGAAAGGCUCACCUAGGCGACGAUCUCUAGCUGGUCUGAGAGGAUGAUCAGCAAAACUGGGACUGAGACACGGCCCAGACUCCUACGGGAGGCAGAAGUGGGGAAUAUUGCACAAUGGGCGCAAGCCUGAUGCAGCCAUGCAGCGUGUAUGGAGAAGGCCUUAGGGUUGUAAAGUACUUUAAGCGGGGAGGAGUUACCGGCAGAAGAAGCACCGGCUAACUCCGUGCCAGCAGCCGCGGUAAUUC